rnacentral:rRNA from 1 species
UACAGAGGGUGCAAGCGUUAAUCGGAAUUACUGGGCGUAAAGCGUGCGUAGUCGGUUAUCUAAGUCGGGUGUGAAAUCCCCAGGCUUAACCUGGGAACUGCAUUCGAGACUGCAUUGCUAGAGUAUGGGAGAGGGAAGUGGAAUUUCCGGUGUAGCGGUGAAAUGCGUAGAUAUCGGAAGGAACAUCAGUGGCGAAAGCGACUUCCUGGACCAAUACUGACGCUCAUGUGCGAAAGCGUGGGGAGCAAACAGG